CCUACGGGUGGCAGCAGUGGGGAAUAUUGGGCAAUGGGCGCAAGCCUGACCCAGCAAUGCCGCGUGAAGGAAGAAGGCUUUCGGGUUGUAAACUUCUUUGACAGGGGAAGAGCAGAAGACGGUACCCUGAAAACAAGCCACGGCUAACUACGUGCCAGCAGCCGCGGUAAUACGUAGGGUGCGAGCGUUAAUCGGAAUUACUGGGGGUAAAGGGUGUGCAGGCGGUUUUGCAAGAUGGAUGUGAAAGCCCCGGGCUUAACCUGGGAAAGCCAUACAUCACUGCAAGACUAGAGUGCGUCAGAGGGGGGUGGAAUUCCAAGUGUAGCAGUGAAAUGCGUAGAUAUUUGGAAGAACACAGAUGGCGAAGGCAGCCCCCUGGGACGCAACUGACGCUCAUACACGAAAGCGUGGGGAGCAAACAGGAUUAGAUACCCUUGUAGUC
rnacentral:rRNA from 1 species